rnacentral:rRNA from 1 species
CAUGCAGGCGGUUACAUAAGUCAGGUGUGAAAUCCCCGCGCUUAACGUGGGCAUUGCAUUUGAAACUAUGUAGCUAGAGUUCUGUAGAGGGGGGUAGAAUUCCAGGUGUAGCGGUGAAAUGCGUAGAGAUCUGGAGGAAUACCGAUUGCGAAGGCAGCCCCCUGGACAGUGACUGACGCUCAUAUGCGAAAGCGUGGGGAUCAAACAGGAUUAGAUACCCCUGUA